AAUAGUCUCUGACAACCAUGACAUCGAACAAGUGAUUUGUCUACUCUGGCAUCCAAACAAACAGAACAUGCAUCCUUGGGAAGAGUCCGGUCAUUCAUGUCCUCGCUUCUCAACUCCUUCACAAUCCAGAAUUUCUCCUCCCUGCAGUGGACUGCAUCCUGUUUCAGCCUAGCAGCAAUUGUGCCGAGAAGGUCAAUGGCCAUUGAACGAACAGAAACAUCUUUAGAUUUCAACGCAGUGGACUGCAUCCUGUUUCAGCCUUGCAGCAAUUGUGCCGAGAAGGUCAAUGGCCAUUGAACGAACAGAAACAUCUUUAGAUUUCAACCCAGCAUUUUGAAGAAGCAAAACACAAAGAACCUGCAAAUAAGUGUAUCUUUAACAUAUAGCUAAUGAAGUGUAUUAUGUUAGAAAUAUAACCGUGUCUCUAAUACCUCCAGAAGAGGAGCAGAGGCAGGAUAUUCAGGCAAAUUCAAAGUAAUCAACAGAUCAAUGACAAGAUUCUCAAUCAUUGUCUU
rnacentral:lncRNA from 1 species